UACGAAGGGGGCUAGCGUUGCUCGGAAUCACUGGGCGUAAAGGGUGCGUAGGCGGGUCUUUAAGUCAGGGGUGAAAUCCUGGAGCUCAACUCCAGAACUGCCUUUGAUACUGAAGAUCUUGAGUUCGGGAGAGGUGAGUGGAACUGCGAGUGUAGAGGUGAAAUUCGUAGAUACUCGCAAGAACACCAGUGGCGAAGGCGGCUCACUGGCCCGAUACUGACGCUGAUGCACGAAAGCGUGGGGAGCAAACAGG
rnacentral:rRNA from 1 species